GAACCCAUUUCUUUUGAACUCCAAAUCGAGAGUACUUUCAGAAGAAAGGGUUUUCCUGCCUAUUGAUUCUUGUGAUUCUUCGAUACUUCCUACGCUUUUUCCAUAUAAAGAAGAAGUUGCUCGCCUCUGCUUUUUACUAUAAUAUAAGAGUAGGAAGGCUAGCCUUUCAGUAAAAGCCCUAAAGAACCUGCUUCCUUUUAGUAUGCCAGCCAGUUCCCGGUCACCAAGCCAACAAUUUCAAUCCUUGAGAACCCUGCGCGUCUCCUAAUAGAUCAGCCCAACAAUACCUCUGUGUUUUAACGGCUAAUUUCCGCGCUUUACCGCUUCUUCAAAGAUACUUGCACAUUGUAUUAUCCCAAAUGAGUGCGGAACCAAUUCAUGGGAAAGCUAAAUAUUGGAUUAAAGAAUUAUUUCAGAUGUUAUGAAAUGCCUUGGCGACAAUGAAAAGCAAAUGCGAGAGUGCACUUUGUUUACUUUAGACUCUUGGCUUGCUGCUGGCCAUCUUGACAAAAAGGUCCCUUAUGUAACUGCUGCUCUCAAGGACACUAAGUUUGGUGGGUAAGGGCGCAACGAUCCUUUUGACUGGUUGUCAAGACAACUUGCUGGACUGUCCGAUUUUGAUUUUCCUGAUGCUAUACAUCUGCUAAAACCCUAUACAUCUGAUAAAUCAGCACAUGUUCGUAAAGCUGCUGAAGCAUGCUUUAAUGAGAAAUAUUCAGG